ensembl:lncRNA
CACACGCUCAGGUUGCCCUCUCCCACGAAGGCUUUUCCAGUAAGACACACCCUUUUUGAACUACGUGGGACACAAUGGAGGCUUUUCAGAAGGAGAGGAGGCAACCACAGACCCUGCAGCACUGUGAACUCGGGUACGAAAGGAAGCAUGAAUUUGUGAAUCUUUGUAAUACUCAUUACAGUAGUUGAGUACCCUGCAUCAGCAGCACCCCCAUAUCUUACUUACCAUCACUGCUAGAUGCAACAGAUCACUGUGAUGGUAAUAAAUCACUGAAACAGAAUGUGGUUCCUCUAAUUGCUUUCACUUUUUGUGUUGAAUGGACACCUUUCAUCAGCAAUAGCCUGAGCAAAGAUAUUCCUGCCCUGCAAAAUGAGUCUGCGG